AGAGUUUGAUCCUGGCUCAGAACGAACGCUGGCGGCGUGGAUAAGACAUGCAAGUCGAGCGCUGAUUACAGGGUAGCAAUAUUCUGUGGUCGGAGCGGCGCAAGGGUGCGUAACACGUGGGUAAUCUGCCAUGAAGUUUGGGAUAACUUGCUGAAAGGCGAGCUAAUACCGGAUGUGAAAAUUAGGAGGCAUCUUCCGAUUUUCAAAGCUGGGGACCGUAAGGCCUGGCGCUUCAUGAUGAGCCCGCGGCCUAUCAGCUAGUUGGUGAGGUAACGGCUCACCAAGGCUAAGACGGGUAGCUGGUCUGAGAGGACGACCAGCCACACUGGAACUGAGACACGGUCCAGACACCUACGGGUGGCAGCAGUCGAGAAUUUUUCACAAUGGGCGCAAGCCUGAUGGAGCGACGCCGCGUGGGGGAUGAAUGGCUUCGGCCCGUAAACCCCUGUCAUUUGCGAACAAGUUGGUUCAAUUAACACCUGAACCAUUGAUAGUAGCGAAAGAGGAAGGGACGGCUAACUCUGUGCCAGCAGCCGCGGUAAUACAGAGGUCCCAAGCGUUGUUCGGAUUCACUGGGCGUAAAGGGUGCGUAGGUGGUGAGGUAAGUCGGAUGUGAAAUCUCCGAGCUCAACUCGGAAAUGGCAUUGGAAACUACCUUGCUCGAGGGUUGGAGGGGGGACUGGAAUGCUUGGUGUAGCAGUGAAAUGCGUAGAUAUCAAGCGGAACACCAGUGGCGAAGGCGAGUCCCUGGACAACUCCUGACACUGAGGCACGAAAGCUAGGGGAGCAAACAGGAUUAGAUACCCUAGUAGUCC
rnacentral:rRNA from 1 species